rnacentral:rRNA from 1 species
GAUGAACGCUGGCGGCGUGCUUAACACAUGCAAGUCGAACGGGAUCCAAGGGGUGCUUGCACUUUUUGGUGAGAGUGGCGAACGGGUGAGUAACACGUGAGUAACCUGUCCUUUUCUUUGGGAUAAGCAUUCGAAAGGGUGUUUAAUACCUUAUGUUCUGUCUGCCUCGCAUGGGGUGGGUGGGAAAGGCUUUGGCCGGAUUUGGGUGGGCUCGCGGUCUAUCAGCUUGUUGGUGGGGUGAUGGCUUACCAAGGCUUUGACGGGUAGCCGGCCUGAGAGGGUGGUCGGUCACAUUGGGACUGAGAUACGGCCCAGAAUCCUGCGGGAGGCAGCAGUGGGGGAUAUUGCACAAUGGGCGAAAGCCUGAUGCAGCGACGCCGCGUGGGGGAUGAAGGCCUUCGGGUUGUAAACUUCUUUUGCUCUGAACAAGGCAUGCCAGUGGGUGUGUUGAGUGUAGGGGUUGAUUAGCGCCGGCUAACUACGUG